UAUUUCUGCAUAAUUUAUAGAGUUCAUGUGAAAGUCGGCGGAAUAGAAAUAAUACGUAAUAUAAGAGUCUCGACGAGGUUUUGAAAAAUGCGAUGAUUCCAAGAUGAUGUCCACCAUCCCCCAGAAAAAUGUUGAACAUUUAUUGAUGGAAUUUUGGCUGUGUGAUAUUUUCAAAAUAGUUUUGAUUAAAAACGAUUCAAUGGUCCAACGCUAGUAUCUGCACGCGUAUAAUAAACAUCUUUGUAACAAGUCUCGCCAGAAGUGUGCGAACACCACGUGCUAAUAUCAAAAAUUCUGUCCACAUUGUC